rnacentral:rRNA from 1 species
AGAGUUUGAUCAUGGCUCAGAUUGAACGCUGGCGGCAGGCUUUACACAUGCAAGUCGAACGGUAACAGGAAGGAAGCUUGCUUUCUUUGCUGACGAGUGGCGGACGGGUGAGUAAUGCUUGGGAAUCUGGCUUAUGGAGGGGGAUAACUACGGGAAACUGUAGCUAAUACCGCGUAAUAUCUUCGGAUUAAAGGGUGGGACCGUAAGGCCACCUGCCAUAAGAUGAGCCCAAGUGGGAUUAGGUAGUUGGUGGGGUAAAGGCCUACCAAGCCGACGAUCUCUAGCUGGUCUGAGAGGAUGACCAGCCACACUGGAACUGAGACACGGUCCAGACUCCUACGGGAGGCAGCAGUGGGGAAUAUUGCACAAUGGGGGGAACCCUGAUGCAGCCAUGCCGCGUGAAUGAAGAAGGCCUUCGGGUUGUAAAGUUCUUUCGGUGAUGAGGAAGGCGGUUGUUUUAAUAGAACAAUCGAUUGACGUUAGUCACAGAAGAAGCACCGGCUAACUCCGUGCCAGCAGCCGCGGUAAUACGGAGGGUGCGAGCGUUAAUCGGAAUGACUGGGCGUAAAGGGCACGCCGGCGGUGACUUAAGUGAGAUGUGAAAGCCCCGGGCUUAACCUGGGAAUUGCAUUUCAUACUGGGUCGCUAGAGUAUUUUAGGGAGGGGUAGAAUUCCACGUGUAGCGGUGAAAUGCGUAGAGAUGUGGAGGAAUACCGAAGGCGAAGGCAGCCCCUUGGGAAUAUACUGACGCUCAUGUGCGAAAGCGUGGGGAGCAAACAGGAUUAGAUACCCUGGUAGUCCACGCUGUAAACGCUGUCUGAUUUGGGGAUUGGGCUUUAAGCUUGGUGCCCGUAGCUCACGUGAUAAA